UAAAGUAUAAAAAUAAGAAUAUGAUGUUGGUUCAGAUUAAGCGCUAAAUAAGGACAUGACACAUGCGAAUCAUACGUUUAUUAUUGAUAAGAUAAUAAAUAUGUGGUGUAAACGUGAGUAAUUUUAUUAGGAAUAUAUGAACUAUAGAAUAAGUUAAAUACUUAAUAAUAAAUUAUAUAAAAAAGUAAUAAUUAUAUAAUAAUAAAGGAUAUAUAUAUAUAUAUUUAUCUAUAGUCAAGCCAAUAAUGGUUUAGGUAGUAGGUUUAUUAAGAGUUAAACCUAGCCAACGAUCCAUAAUCGUUAAUGAAAGUUAGAACGAUCACGUUGACUCUGAAAUAUAGUCAAUAUCUAUAAGAUACAGCAGUGAGGAAUAUUGGACAAUGAUCGAAAGAUUGAUCCAGUUACUUAUUAGGAUGAUAUAUAAAAAAUUAUAUCUAUAAAAGUAUAUAAAUAAUAUAUAUAUAAAUUGAUUAAAAAUAAAAUCCAUAAAUAAUUAAAAUAAUGAUAUUAAUUACCAUAUAAUAAUAAUAUGGAUAUAUAAUAAUUAUAAUAUUAAUUUAUUAUAAUAAAUUAUAUAUUUUAAUAGUCCUGACUAAUAUUUGUGCCAGCAGUCGCGGUAACACAAAGAGGGCGAGCGUUAAUCAUAAUGGUUUAAAGGAUCCGUAGAAUGAAUUAUAUAAUUUAGAGUUAAUAAAUUUAAUUAAAGAAUUAUAAUAGUAAAGAUGAAAUAAUAAUAAUAAUUAUAAGACUAAUAUAUGUGAAAAUAUUAAUUAAAUAUUAACUGACAUUGAGGGAUUAAAACUAGAGUAGCGAAACGGAUUCGAUACCCGUGUAGUUCUAGUAGUAAACUAUGAAUACAAUUAUUUAUAAUAAAUAUAUAUAUAUAUAAAUAAUAAAUGAAAAUGAAAGUAUUCCACCUGAAGAGUACGUUAGCAAUAAUGAAACUCAAAACAAUAGACGGUUACAGACUUAAGCAGUGGAGCAUGUUAUUUAAUUCGAUAAUCCACGACUAACCUUACCAUAUUUUGAAUAUUAUAAUAAUUAUUAUAAAUUAUUAUAUUACAGGCGUUACAUUGUUGUCUUUAGUUCGUGCUGCAAAGUUUUAGAUUAAGUUCAUAAACGAACAAAACUCCAUAUAUAUAAUCUUAAUUAUAUAUAAUUUUAUAUUAUUUAUUAAUAUAAAGAAAGGAAUUAAGACAAAUCAUAAUGAUCCUUAUAAUAUGGGUAAUAGACGUGCUAUAAUAAAAUGAUAAUAAAAUUAUAUAAAAUAUAUAAAAAAAUAUAUUUAAUUAAUAAUAUAAAACAUUUUAACUUUUAAUAUAUUUUUAUAUUAUAUAUUAAUAUGAAUUAUAAUCUGAAAUUCGAUUAUAUGAAAAAAGAAUUGCUAGUAAUACGUAAAUUAGUAUGUUACGGUGAAUAUUCUAACUGUUUCGCACUAAUCACUCAUCACGCGUUGAAACAUAUUAUUAUCUUAUUAUUUAUUAAUAUUUAUAUAAUUAUAUUAUAUAAUUAAUUAAUAUUUAUUUAUAUCAGAAAUAAUAUGAAUUAAUGCGAAGUUGAAAUACAGUUACCGUAGGGGAACCUGCGGUGGGCUUAUAAAUAUCUUAAAUAUUCUUACA
rnacentral:ncRNA from 1 species